UUAAUUGAAGAGUUUGAUCAUGGCUCAGAUUGAACGCUGGCGGCAGGCCUAACACAUGCAAGUCGAGCGGUAACAGGAAGUAGCUUGCUACUUCGCUGACGAGCGGCGGACGGGUGAGUAAUGCCUGGGAAUAUGCCUUGAUGUGGGGGAUAACUAUUGGAAACGAUAGCUAAUACCGCAUAAUGCCUACGGGCCAAAGAGGGGGAUCUUCGGACCUCUCGCGUCAAGAUUAGCCCAGGUGGGAUUAGCUAGUUGGUGGGGUAAAGGCUCACCAAGGCGACGAUCCCUAGCUGGUCUGAGAGGAUGAUCAGCCACACUGGAACUGAGACACGGUCCAGACUCCUACGGGAGGCAGCAGUGGGGAAUAUUGCACAAUGGGGGAAACCCUGAUGCAGCCAUGCCGCGUGUAUGAAGAAGGCCUUCGGGUUGUAAAGUACUUUCAGCAGUGAGGAAGGUGGUAGUGUUAAUAGCGCUAUCAUUUGACGUUAGCUGCAGAAGAAGCACCGGCUAACUCCGUGCCAGCAGCCGCGGUAAUACGGAGGGUGCGAGCGUUAAUCGGAAUUACUGGGCGUAAAGCGCAUGCAGGCGGUCUGUUAAGCAAGAUGUGAAAGCCCGGGGCUCAACCUCGGAACAGCAUUUUGAACUGGCAGACUAGAGUCUUGUAGAGGGGGGUAGAAUUUCAGGUGUAGCGGUGAAAUGCGUAGAGAUCUGAAGGAAUACCGGUGGCGAAGGCGGCCCCCUGGACAAAGACUGACGCUCAGAUGCGAAAGCGUGGGGAGCAAACAGGAUUAGAUACCCUGGUAGUCCACGCCGUAAACGAUGUCUACUUGGAGGUUGGUGUCUUGAACACUGGCUUUCGGAGCUAACGCGUUAAGUAGACCGCCUGGGGAGUACGGUCGCAAGAUUAAAACUCAAAUGAAUUGACGGGGGCCCGCACAAGCGGUGGAGCAUGUGGUUUAAUUCGAUGCAACGCGAAGAACCUUACCUACUCUUGACAUCCAGAGAAUUCGCUAGAGAUAGCUUAGUGCCUUCGGGAACUCUGAGACAGGUGCUGCAUGGCUGUCGUCAGCUCGUGUUGUGAAAUGUUGGGUUAAGUCCCGCAACGAGCGCAACCCUUAUCCUUGUUUGCCAGCAC
rnacentral:rRNA from 1 species